CGGCGGAACACGUGAAAUUCCGUCGGAAUCCGGGAGGACCAUCUCCCAAGGCUAAAUACUCCCUAGUGACCGAUAGUGAACCAGUACCGUGAGGGAAAGGUGAAAAGCACCCCGGAAGGGGAGUGAAACAGUUCCUGAAACCGUGUGCCUACAAGUAGUUAGAGCCCGUUAAUGGGUGAUAGCGUGCCUUUUGUAGAAUGAACCGGCGAGUUACGAUUUGUUGCAAGGUUAAGCGGAAAAAGCGGAGCCGUAGCGAAAGCGAGUCUGAAUAGGGCGCAUAAGUAACAGGUCGUAGACCCGAAACCAGGUGAUCUACCCAUGUCCAGGAUGAAGGUAAGGUAAUACUUACUGGAGGUCCGAACCCACGCACGUUGAAAAGUGCGGGGAUGAGGUGUGGGUAGCGGAGAAAUUCCAAUCGAACUUGGAGAUAGCUGGUUCUCUCCGAAAUAGCUUUAGGGCUAGCCUCGAGGUAAAGAGUCAUGGAGGUAGAGCACUGUUUGGACUAGGGGCCCUUCUCGGGUUACCGAAUUCAGAUAAACUCCGAAUGCCAUGUACUUAUACUCGGGAGUCAGACUGCGAGUGAUAAGAUCCGUAGUCGAAAGGGAAACAGCCCAGACCACCAGUUAAGGUCCCCAAAUAUAUGUUAAGUGGAAAAGGAUGUGGGGUUGCUUAGACAACCAGGAUGUUGGCUUAGAAGCAGCCACCAUUGAAAGAGUGCGUAAUAGCUCACUGGUCGAGUGACCCCGCGCCGAAAAUGUACCGGGGCUAAACAUAUUACCGAAACUGUGGAUGAACCUCUUUAGAGGUUCGUGGUAGGAGAGCGUUCUAAGGGCGGUGAAGUCAGACCGGAAGGACUGGUGGAGCGCUUAGAAGUGAGAAUGCCGGUAUGAGUAGCGAAAGAAGGGUGAGAAUCCCUUCCACCGAAUAUCUAAGGUUUCCUGAGGAAGGCUCGUCCGCUCAGGGUUAGUCGGGACCUAAGCCGAGGCCGAUAGGCGUAGGCGAUGGACAACAGGUAGAGAUUCCUGUACCAGUGCUAAUUGUUUAACCGAUGGGGUGACACAGAAGGAUAGGGAAUCGCACGAAUGGAAAUGUGCGUCCAAGCAGUGAGUGUGAGAAGUAGGCAAAUCCGCUUCUCGCGAAGCAUGAGCUGUGAUGGGGAAGGAAAUUAAGUACGGAAGUUCCUGAUUUCACGCUGUCAAGAAAAGCCUCUAGGAAGAGUAGUACUGCCCGUACCGCAAACCGACACAGGUAGAUGAGGAGAGAAUCCUAAGGUGAGCGAGAGAACUCUCGUUAAGGAACUCGGCAAAAUGACCCCGUAACUUCGGGAGAAGGGGUGCUCUAUUAGGGUGCAAGCCCGAGAG
rnacentral:rRNA from 1 species